GUUAAGUCAGACUGGAUGGUGACAAGAUCCUUUUAAGGGAAAGCAGUCCAGAUGUUGUAUGGACUUCAGAAAGAUGCCAGAACAAAGGUUACAAACCGAUAACUGUAGUUCAGAUUGGUACAAAGUGAUUUGUUGCCUCUGAUUCUCCGGUGGCAAAAUUGAAGUAAGCAAGCAGGCAAACAAACACCAGGAAGAAAAGGAGAAGGUUAUCUUAAAUGCAAGUUGUGAAGAAGGAGAAGAAGGAAGAGUAAGAGAGAAAGGCCACAGAGAAAGGAGAAGAAGAAGAAGAGAGAAAAGAGACCAACGUGUCUGGAUUAUAUAGAGAAGAGCCUUUUGGGGAAAGGCAGCCCAACCCCUGGGCUGAAAAGUUCAGGGCUGGGGACAGGAGACAGAGAUGUUGGAAGAACCUGGAGGGCAAUUACUGAAGCGCCACCAGCAAUUACUUCUAGGAUGCCUGACUGAAAAAUCUUCAUCUUUGCACUUUGGGUUAUUAUGUGUGACUGCCAUACAAACAGAAUGCAAGCUUCAUGUAGAGCACCAUGCAGGGAAUUUCCUCUGCGAUUACACCCUCUCAUCUCGGAGCAAAGCUUUAUGAAGACACAGGAUGUUAAAGUAGAGAUGCCACAUUCCUUCUAAAGGGACGUUCAUUGGGCUGAGGACCGAACUCAGGGACUUGUGCUUGCUACGCAAGCACUCUUGCCUCAAAUGAAAAUAUGAUGUGAUGCACAGCUUGUGGGGCCGUGAAGUCUAGAAUUCCAGCGCCGGUUGGUCCCGAAUUGUAAUGCGGAUGUGCAUUUAACCUUGUGAUACAACCAGUGAGGAGGAUGAAAACGAUGCCCAGCAGCUGAGGAAGACAACCUACAGGCUACAAGGGGUUCAUCAUCCGUAAGGAACUAAAACAUAAUGCCUGAGUGGGACAGGAACCAAACAAUCUCACCUUGGGACUGAUAAAAUGGCACAGUGGAUAGAGGAGCUUGCACACAGACCUGAGGAUGUGAGUUUCACCCCUGGAUCCCUCAAGAUGGCAGAAUAAACUGAUUCCUGAGAAUUGGACCUAAGGAGCCAACAGCAAACCUAGGCAUGAUCCCACCAAAGCUCACUCCCUGCUCACUCCAAGGAACCCACGAGUCGAUGGGGCUUCCUUACAGACCUUAGGUCUUUGCUGAGUAUGGAGUGGUUUUAUUGCUGUCAGAGGAGACUGGAAGGAAGAUUCCCAAUACUGGUGAGACCUGGGUUCUGUGAAGGAGGAAAGUCAAGAUCAGCUGUUUGGAGUCACACUCAGGGGCAUCUGUGUUGCUCUGGCUGUUUCCCCAGUUAAUGUCAAGAAAUUUACCAAGGAUGAAGUGAAAAGGGCAAGGAAGAGUUAAUUCAAGGCUGUUGCAAUGGAAGAAAGAAACUGAACACAACUUCGUUAAAACAAAGGAUUAGAGAACUGUGUACUGUUGGGUAAAGCUAACAGAAAAGCCCUGGAGUG
rnacentral:lncRNA from 1 species